GCCCUGCUAGCACAGUCGGUAGAGCGUUGGACGUAAUUCAACGGUCGUGGGUUCGACCCCCACGUAGGACG
rnacentral:tRNA from 1 species